CGGAGCUGCGGCCGUGAGGAGGAGCGGAGGGGACAGCGCGCGGGCGGCCGAGCAUGCUGCGGGGCGGCCGCGCCGGCGCCACUCGCUCGUGACCGCAGCGCCGCUCCUGAGGCGGCCGAGGCUGCGGGCCCGGCGCGCAGUCGCUGCUCCGCGCACGCGCACGGCGGCGCUCUCGGUGCUGACAGCGCGAGACAGCGCGGCCCGGCAGGAGCAGGACGAAUGUAUGACAACAUGUCCACAAUGGUGUAUAUAAAGGAAGACAAGUUGGAGAAGCUUACACAGGAUGAAAUUAUUUCCAAGACAAAGCAAGUAAUUCAGGGCCUGGAAGCUCUGAAGAAUGAACACAAUUCCAUUUUACAGAGUUUACUGGAGACACUGAAGUGUUUGAAGAAAGAUGAUGAAAGUAACCUGGUGGAGGAGAAAUCAAACAUGAUCCGGAAGUCCCUGGAGAUGUUGGAGCUUGGCCUGAGUGAGGCACAGGUUAUGAUGGCUUUGUCAAACCACCUGAAUGCCGUGGAGUCAGAGAAGCAGAAGUUGCGAGCGCAGGUGCGUCGCCUGUGCCAGGAGAAUCAGUGGCUGCGGGAUGAACUGGCCAACACACAGCAGAAAUUGCAGAAGAGUGAGCAGUCUGUGGCUCAGCUGGAGGAAGAAAAGAAGCAUCUGGAAUUUAUGAAUCAGCUCAAAAAAUAUGAUGACGACAUUUCCCCAUCUGAGGACAAGGACACGGAUUCUACCAAAGAGCCUCUGGACGACCUUUUCCCCAAUGAUGAAGAUGACCCAGGACAAGGCAUCCAGCAGCAGCACAGCAGUGCGGCCGCCGCAGCGCAGCAAGGCGGCUACGAGAUCCCCGCGCGGCUGCGCACGCUCCACAACCUGGUGAUCCAGUACGCCUCCCAGGGGCGCUACGAGGUGGCCGUGCCCCUCUGCAAGCAGGCGCUGGAGGAUCUGGAGAAGACGUCGGGACACGACCACCCCGAUGUGGCCACCAUGCUCAACAUCCUGGCCCUGGUGUACAGGGAUCAAAACAAGUACAAGGACGCAGCCAACCUACUGAAUGACGCCUUGGCCAUCCGUGAAAAGACACUGGGCAAAGAUCAUCCUGCGGUGGCGGCCACUUUGAAUAACCUCGCAGUCCUCUAUGGGAAGCGAGGGAAGUACAAGGAAGCCGAGCCCUUGUGCAAACGAGCCCUGGAGAUCAGAGAAAAGGUACUGGGAAAGGAUCACCCUGAUGUCGCUAAGCAGUUAAAUAACUUGGCCUUGCUGUGCCAGAACCAGGGCAAGUAUGAGGAGGUGGAGUACUAUUAUCAAAGAGCCCUCGACAUCUACCAGACGAAACUGGGGCCCGAUGACCCCAACGUGGCCAAGACCAAAAAUAACCUGGCAUCCUGCUAUCUGAAACAAGGAAAGUUCAAGCAAGCAGAGACACUGUACAAAGAAAUUCUCACCCGUGCCCAUGAAAGGGAGUUCGGUUCUGUAGAUGAUGAAAAUAAACCCAUUUGGAUGCAUGCUGAAGAAAGAGAAGAAUGCAAAGGAAAGCAGAAGGACGGGACAUCUUUUGGCGAGUACGGCGGCUGGUACAAAGCCUGCAAGGUCGACAGUCCCACUGUCACGACGACUCUAAAGAACCUGGGGGCACUCUAUCGACGGCAGGGCAAAUUCGAAGCUGCAGAGACGUUGGAAGAAGCUGCCAUGAGGUCGCGCAAACAGGGUCUUGACAAUGUUCACAAACAGAGAGUGGCCGAAGUGCUGAAUGACCCUGAGAACAUGGAGAAGCGGAGGAGCCGGGAGAGCCUCAACGUGGACGUGGUCAAGUACGAGAGCGGCCCUGACGGAGGGGAGGAAGUGAGUAUGAGCGUAGAGUGGAACGGGGAUGGCACUGGAUCUUUAAAACGCAGUGGUUCCUUUAGCAAACUCCGGGCUUCCAUUAGACGCAGCAGUGAGAAGCUGGUUAGGAAGCUGAAGGGAGGAAGUUCACGGGAGAGUGAGCCGAGGAACCCUGGCAUGAAGCGCGCCAGCUCUCUGAAUGUUCUUAACGUGGGUGGCAAGGCCGCUGAGGACCGCUUCCAAGUAAGGAGCCCACCCCGCCCGGUUCACACCCUGGGCUGCUGGACUGCGGUGCAGGUCUGCCGCAGACCCGCCUGGGCCGCCACCGCUGCUCCAGCAGAGCACUGCGGGCGUUCCCCGUGCCUGUACCUAGACAGAUAGUGUGACGGUAUCUUUGUAUUCUGCAUAACUCGGUUAUGUGAAUUGUGGGAGUGGUCACGCUGAGCAUUCUCAGUAUAUUAUUAUAGUUAAUGAUCUUUAAAAAUAGUUUGACCUAAUUAAUUUAUUGUUAAAGUAAUACCAAAGCUUGACCAGUUAAUAAUUUAUAUAAUUUUAGCCUCUAAUAAGUUUAUAACUAAUUCAUUGUUUGGUUAUUGUUCAGUGCUUCAAAACUAUUCAAAACUUUACUAACACAGUGACUGAACAUAUUGUCACUUUGACACUAAACUCUUCAGCACUUGGUCAGGUUGUCCAAGUCUUACACAAACUCAUGUUUUGUCUGCUUCCCCUUCGCGUGCGGGAGUUUGGCAUCCCUUCUCCAGCACAGAGCUUCAGUGUUCCUUUCUUCCAGCACCUGGGUGGCUGCCAGGGCGUGGCCAGCCCUGCCCUGUUUCUCGGUGCUCUGAGCAGACUCGAGCUGCUGGGACUUGGCAGUCACGGCCCCUGUGCUGGUGCUUAGAGUGUGUGACAGUGGCCAGGCUUCCCGUCUCCUGCCAGUCACCCAGAUCCAGUUACUAAAAUGUGGGCUGGUUGUCGACAGUAUUGGGGCUCCCAGACAGGCUGCCCCUGCCCCCACUGUCUCCCCAGCACCCUUGGGAGGCUGUUCACCAGGCCUCUGGGUGGCAGCUAAAGAGCUUGUAGGAUGCUGGCAGUUUGCUUGAGGCACCCCCAGUAAUGACAGGAAAAGGUCUGUUUGUUUUACGAAGGCCUGUAGCUGACCGAGUCUUCCAUCCGACAUCCUGGUGUUUCCACGUGCACGUCUGACCACUGGGACCCCGUUGUGCUGAGUUACGCAGCUAGGGUUGCUAGGCUAAGAUCACUGGAAUCUGGCAUCGUUUGAAGUACUGGGCGUCCCCAGCAGAGCCUCUCUUUGUGGAGAACGACAGCGGCAGCAGCAGCCUGGAAGACGCUUCCACUAAC